rnacentral:rRNA from 1 species
AUACGUAGGUGGCAAGCGUUGUCCGGAAUUAUUGGGCGUAAAGCGCGCGCAGGUGGUUCCUUAAGUCUGAUGUGAAAGCCCCCGGCUCAACCGGGGAGGGUCAUUGGGAACUGGGGAACUUGAGUGCAGAAGAGGAUAGUGGAAUUCCAAGUGUAGCGGUGAAAUGCGUAGAGAUUUGGAGGAACACCAGUGGCGAAGGCGACUGUCUGGUCUGUAACUGACACUGAGGCGCGAAAGCGUGGGGAGCAAACAGGAUUAGAUACCCUGGUAGUCCACGCCGUAAACGAUGAGUGCUAAGUGUUGGGGGGUUUCCGCCCCUCAGUGCUGCAGCUAACGCAUUAAGCACUCCGCCUGGGGAGUACGGUCGCAAGACUGAAACUCAAAUGAAUUGACGGGG